rnacentral:tRNA from 1 species
GCCAAGGUGGCGGAACUGGUAUACGCGCUGGUCUCAAAAACCAGUGGUCUCACGGCCGUGAGGGUUCAACUCCCUCCCUUGGCA